rnacentral:lncRNA from 1 species
UCCUCUUGUACUUCUGACAACCUUCUGUGUGAUUCUAGCUGGUUUUCCUUCAAUUCCACCUUUUGAGCUUCCACUUGUUCUAGUUCAUCUUUAAGGUUUGUGAUAAGUGAUCUAGACUCAUCCAUUUGUAGCUUCAGUUCCACCUUUUGAGCUUCCACUUGUUCUAGUUCGUCUUUAAGGUUUGUGAUAAGUGAUCUAGACUCAUCCAUUUGUAGCUUCAGUUCCACCUUUUGAGCUUCCACUUGUUCUAGUUCAUCUUUAAGGUUUGUGAUAAGUGAUCUAGACUCAUCCAUUUGUAGCAUGCUUAACUCCUUUUCAUUUGCCAGAUAGGUCAACUGAGACUCUAGUCCAGAUAUGAACUCU